GUGCUCACUUCAGCAGCACAAAUACUAAAACUGGAAUGAUACAGAGAAGAUUAGAAUGGCCCCUGUGCAGGAGUAACAUGCAAAUUCAGGAAGCUUUCCGUAUUUUU
rnacentral:snRNA from 1 species